AACGAACGCUGGCGGCAGGCUUAACACAUGCAAGUCGAACGCAUCGCAAGAUGAGUGGCAGACGGGUGAGUAACGCGUGGGAAUCUACCCAGUUCUACGGAACAACAGUUGGAAACGGCUGCUAAUACCGUAUACGCCCUACGGGGGAAAGAUUUAUCGGAAUUGGAUGAGCCCGCGUAAGAUUAGCUAGUUGGUGGGGUAAUGGCCUACCAAGGCGACGAUCUUUAGCUGGUCUGAGAGGAUGAUCAGCCACACUGGGACUGAGACACGGCCCAGACUCCUACGGGAGGCAGCAGUGGGGAAUAUUGGACAAUGGGCGCAAGCCUGAUCCAGCCAUGCCGCGUGAGUGAUGAAGGCCUUAGGGUUGUAAAGCUCUUUCACCGAUGAAGAUAAUGACGGUAGUCGGAGAAGAAGCCCCGGCUAACUUCGUGCCAGCAGCCGCCGUAAAAC
rnacentral:rRNA from 1 species